ACCAAAAACAUAGCCCUUGGAUAAUCUCAAAGGUGCAGCCUGCCCUAUGGUCUUAAAAUAAUCCUAUAAAUAGAAUUCAAACAAAGACUAAAUGGCCGCGGUAACUCUGACCGUGAUAAUGUAGCGAAAUCAAUCGUCGUUUAAUUGACGACCAGUAUGAAUGGUUAAACGAAUUUUCCACUGUCUCGAAAGCAAAUUUGUUCGAAAUUGUAAUAAUAGUGAAGAUACUAUUAAAAAAUUGCUAGACGAAAAGACCCUAUAGAGCUUAACUAUAUUCUUAUUUUAUAUUAGCUUAUUUUAAUAAGUUUAAAAUAAGAUUGGUAGUUUGGUUGGGGCGACCAUCUUCUAAAAUAAACGAAGAUAAACAAAGAUAUUAAAUUUAAUAUAAUUUAAUUGUUUAAUUAAUAAAUUUAACAAAUACAAAUGUAGGUAAAAAUGACCCGUUAAUCUUUUAAAAUAAAAUUAACGAUCAAUAAAUAAAAGCUACCUUAGGGAUAACAGCGUAAUCUUGUUCAAGAGUUCUUAUCGACAACAAGGUUUGCGACCUCGAUGUU
rnacentral:rRNA from 1 species